rnacentral:rRNA from 1 species
AUGGAGAUAGUUUUAAUAAGAAUUGUUGUUGCUGUGAACUUUCUUGCUAAACAUAAUUUGGCUUUUCGAGGAUCGCAUGAGAAAAUUUAUCAAGAUAACAAUGGUAACUUUUUAGGAAUAAUAGAAAUGAUGGCAGAAUUUGAUCCUAUAAUGCAGGACCAUAUUAGGCGUAUUCAAAAUAGUGAAAUUCAUCAUCACUAUCUUGGCCAUAAGAUUCAAAAUGAGCUGAUUAAUAUUCUUGCACAAGGUGUUAAAGACACUAUCAUAAGGAUAAUUAAGGAUGCCAAAUAUUUAUCUAUAAUUCUAGAUUGUACCCCUGAUGUAAGCCAUCCAGAACAAAUGACUCUAAUUGUGAGGUGUGUAAACAUGUCAAGUAACACUACAAAAAUAGAAGAGUAUUUUUUGGAGUUCUUGAAGGUGGAUGAUACAUCUGGACUAGGACUCUUCAAUGAGUUAGUAGGCGCCCUUAAAUCUCUUGAUUUGAAUGUUAAUGAUGUUAGAGGUCAAGGCUAUGAUAAUGGAUCUAACAUGAAAAGAAAACAUCAAGGUGUUAAAACACGUUUGCUUGAAAUAAAUCCUAGAGCAUUGUACAUGCCAUGUUCCUGUCAUAGCCUCAAUCUUACACUUUGUGACAUGGCAAAAUCAUGUAGCUAUUACUUUCUUUGGAGUUGUGCAACGAAUUUAUACAUUGUUUUUGGGUUAUACUAA